rnacentral:tRNA from 1 species
GCAUUGCUAGCUCAAGGGUAGAGCACUAUACUUCGGAUAUAGAUAUACUGGUUCAACUCCAGUGUAAUGCU